UACGUCCAUGUGACGUUGAAACACCUGUCGUCAUCUGAACAACAAAGUUAAGCAAUGUUGAGUCUGGUCAGUUCCUAGAUGGGUGACCACUUGGAAAUACCAAGUGCUGUAAG